AUUGAACGCUGGCGGCAUGCUUUACACAUGCAAGUCGAACGGUAACAGGUUAAGCUGACGAGUGGCGAACGGGUGAGUAAUGCAUCGGAACGUGCCCGGUCGUGGGGGAUAACGCAGCGAAAGCUGCGCUAAUACCGCAUACGAUCUGAGGAUGAAAACGGGGGACCGUAAGGCCUCGCGCGAUCGGAGCGGCCGAUGUCAGAUUAGGUAGUUGGUGGGGUAAAGGCUCACCAAGCCAACGAUCUGUAGCUGGUCUGAGAGGACGACCAGCCACACUGGGACUGAGACACGGCCCAGACUCCUACGGGAGGCAGCAGUGGGGAAUUUUGGACAAUGGGCGAAAGCCUGAUCCAGCAAUGCCGCGUGCAGGAAGCAGGCCGUCGGGUUGUAAACUGCUUUUGUACGGAGCGAAAAGGUCUCCUCUAAUACAGGGGGCUCAUGACGGUACCGUAAGAAUAAGCACCGGCUAACUACGUGCCAGCCGCCGCGGUAA
rnacentral:rRNA from 1 species